UACGUAGGAUGCAAGCGUUGUCCGGAAUUAUUGGGCGUAAAGAGCGCGCAGGCGGUAUGACAAGUCAGAUGUGAAAGAGGCCGGCUUAACCGGCAAGGGUCAUUUGAAACUGUCAGACUAGAGUGCAGCAGAGGAUAGUGGAAUUCCCGGUGUAGUGGUGAAAUGCGUAGAUAUCGGGAGGAACACCGGUGGCGAAGGCGGGUCUCUGGGCCGAUACUGACGCUGAGGAGCGAAAGCGUGGGGAGCGAACAGG
rnacentral:rRNA from 1 species